rnacentral:lncRNA from 10 species
UGACAUUCUUCUGGACAAUGAGUCCCAUCAUCUCUCCACCAUGCACCUUGUGACUCCCUCCUCUGCUGACAACAGAUAACCACCUUUAACUGUAACUUUCCACAGCCUACCCCAGCCCUAUAAAGCUGCCCCUCUCCUAUCUCCCUUCGCUGACUCUCUUUUCAGACUCAGCCCACUUGCACCCAAGUGAAUUAACAGCCUUGUUGCUCACACAAAGCCUGUUUAGGUGGUCUUCUAUACGGACAUGCUUGACACUUGGUGCCAAAAUCUGGGCCAGGGGGACUCCUUCGUGAGACCGGCCCCCUGUCCUGGCCCUCAUUCCGUGAAGAGAUCCACCUGCGACCUCGGGUCCUCAGACCAGCCCAAGGAACAUCUCACCAAUUUCAAAUCGGAUCUCCUCGGCUUAGUGGCUGAAGACUGAUGCUGCCCGAUCGCCUCAGAAGCCCCUUGGACCAUCACAGAUGCCGAGCUUCGGGUAACUCUUACGGUGGAGGAUUCCCAGCCAUAUGAAGACACCCUAGCUGGACGAUCAGUCCUUGUCAAAAGUCUGACCCCUCAAACUCUACAGCCUCAAUGGACCAGACCCUACCCGGUCAUUUAUAGCACACCAACUGCCGUCCAUCUGCAGGACCCUCUCCAUUGGGUUCACCAUUCCAGAAUAAAGCCAUGCCCAUCAGACAGCCAGCUUGAUCUCUCCUCUUCCUCCUGGAAGCCACAAGAUUAGGCCGAGAGCCGAUCAGACAAACAACCUACAACCCUUAAGCUCCUGGCAGCGCCCAGCCAAGGCCAUGCUUCCUUGCAACACUCCUUCCAAAUGGCCAUCCCAGCAUGCUUCCAAGCAGGCUUCAUCCGUUCCUCUGGACCCUCAUCUCUUAAGACCUGCCGCCUAUAAAAAGGAUUAUAUCUUGAGACCCUAUCCUCUAAAAUUUUUUCCACACCCAAAACAAAAAAUCUCUGGGUCAAAAGUCUAAAACGCUUAGGCUGGCAACCAUCAGAUCCUUGCCCAUGGUGUCCUCAAGCCUACUCUCAUGAAAUGGACAACAGUACACGCAUAUGGGGCCAGUUCCACAUAUUUGGCAACCAGACCAGCAUCCAGGACAACACAAAGUAUGUUGUUUGUUGUUAGAGGGCUUGGGACAUUUCACUCUUUGCCAGCCUCAGCUUAAUCCAGGAGACAAAGAUUAUUUUCCUUAUUAUCUCUUCUGCAUAGGAUCUGCAAUCAGAACUAUUGAACUUCUCCAUUCAGACCGCCACUCACACCUAUGGGAAAAGGGUAAUGUAUCAUCGGCUUAGCAACAGGGAAUACUAUUCGUAUGAUGGAAAAUGGGGACAAAAGGCUUUGGUACAUAAAACAUUAUUCCUUCCUUGGCCUAAAAACUCAUCGCCACCUACAUUAAAGCUAAUAUGCCUGAU